AAGCCUCCGGUCCCAUAUUCGGAGGCGCUGGGGCUGUGCGCCAAGGCGCCUUGGGAAACGCAGUCCCGCUUCCUUGCCCAAGAGGCUCUGGAGAGGCAACUUUGGGGGGCCCCUGGACUACCACUCCCAGCAGGCCCUGCGGCCCCUCCCCCCCACCUGCUGUAGGAGCGGCUCGGUAACAGAUCAAUGGGGGGGGGGGUAAUGUGUAAGUUUCAUUUGCUUCCUAGUUAAAUGCAGCUCGGAGCCGCCGGCCGGCCCGCGGCAGGAGACACAGUCCACGCCUGAGCAGAGGACAGAGGAACCAGGAAGGUAGAGGUUGACAAUCAGCCCUUUCGAGGCCAUUGGAAGAGCAGGCGGAAAGGAGCCAGGCCAAGGCGCUGACUCCCGAACCCGCUUCCCCUCCAGAUCUGGCCGGCCGGGGAGCCAGGACGGUGCCGCCAGUGGGAUCCCGGAGCCACCGGCCUCUGAACCGCACGGUGUGGGACAGAGCCGGGACCUUGGGACUGGCCCAGUCCCCAUCGCAGCUUCCUGACGCAGGGGGUGGUGCCGCGCUCCCCACAUGGCAGCUGGGUGCCCCCCGUAACGCCAGUCAAACUGGACGCCUCGGGCCUACGU